UCCGGUGAAGAGUAGCCCGUC
rnacentral:miRNA from 1 species